ACAGAUAAUAAACCUGGUUGCCAAGAAGGAAGUCAUAUUCAUUCGACCACACAACACAACGCAGAGAUACAUGUGGCGUCAAACCAGAGAAUGAUUAGAUAAAUAGAGAAAACGGAUAUAAUUUGCUUAUUAUCUGAUUACCAGCUCUGCACAGCGGACUUGUAACACUAGCAGCAGUGGAGAUGGAGCAUCAGAACCUGGAGAAUACAGCAACCAACAACACGGAUCCAUUUGAAGAUAGCUGCCUGGGCCUAUCAGCAAGAACCUCCAUCUGUGCCUGCCCCCAGGUCAAGAUCUAGCGUGGCUCAAGGGCCUUCACCAGAGCCAUCACC